GUGCCCCCUGGUUGUCGAUACAGAUUUUAUUAAUCGAUUCUUUUCGCGAUUCGAGUGGGAGGUAAGUAUGUAUCGGUGGGCCUCGAGGGAUCGGAAUACCGGAGUGGUGUUCAAUUUCUGAGGUGAUACCGGAUCGCAAGGGAAUAAUUACCGGGACACACACGUUGCACGAGAGUUAAGUGGACAUUAAUGGAAAUGCACGCAAAGCUCGACAGCGUUUAAAUACAAAAAAUUAAAAGCAGAAAUCGGGAAUGGAUUUUGCACACACCAACGAAGAGAAAGAAAGUGCUACCUUUCGCAAGAAAGUACUCACCCAUCUUUCGAUAAUCGAUUCACUUUGACAAACAGUACGAACACUAAAACGAAGAGCAGCAACAGAGCACCGCCAACAAUACCGGCUGCUAUAGCAAGAUACAGCAACAAGUCAUCGGUUUCCUGGAAAAUCGAACAUCUAACUUUAGACCUGUACUGAUAAGAAAUUUCAUCAUUUCGUCAGCGGGGAAAAUUUCUUAAAGCAAUAGCCAACCGAAUGAACGAUCGACCGAACGUAUAACGAAUUCCUCUUUGCGUGAAAGACUCUCGCGGUUCGAAAUGUGCCAAUAGAGCGAGGGCGUAACAAAGAUGGACAUAGUGAGAAUGCAAGAAUGUGAAAGAAUCUUUGUCACGCACGGUUGCUUUGCACUUCCUCGAGGCGUUAUUUCGCAACCUGCGUUUAACGCGUCAGAUGUCAAGACGCCAUAAAACUUGAUAAACAUAUUGGAUGCAAACAGGAAGUUUAUGAAUCGCGGAUACGUUCCGCCAUAUGAAACGUUCGAGGCGGCAUGAAUGAAGUGAUGCAUAUGCUGUCACCGAAUGGUAUUAUUCUACGCUGAAUACAGUAGAAUUGUAAAUGUUCGCAGUGAAUCACUUUCAUCGCAUAAUUCCAGUGAUUCUUCUUGCGCCAGUUCAACCUUGAAAAUACAUAGUUGCAUCUCUAAUAGGGAACUGCUCGAGUGGUUGUAAUUAGUAUUACAAAACAAGCUUUAUUACAAGUCCGUGAUUAGCCUUGUUUCAUGUGAAAUUUCACGGAGCGUUAAUGCAUGGGUGAUAAGGAACAAUGAUUGUUUAAUUUAAUUAGCUAUCUAUGAACACAAAGUCAUAUUAAACAGUGUUUUAUAGUUCCAUCGAAACGAUAAUUAAUCACGGAACAAUUACUAGGAAUGAGUCGGUAAAUGAGCAGUCUUCUAAUCAUUGUAAUUGUAAGACGAGCGGUAACCUUGAUAUAUAUGUAUACUUGUAUUAAAAUGAAACUAUGUCGCACGGUUUGUACAUAUUAGCUGAAACACGAUUUUUGGGUAGAGCCUGUGACAUUCUGACCUUAGGAUUAUUAUAGAAAUAAUCCAUAGGGAAAGUAGAAUUACGUGUACUUACC